rnacentral:lncRNA from 10 species
AUUAAGAACUCUUAAAAGCCAAAAGGUAAAUGAAAGCAGAACCCACAGAUAGGCAUUGAAGUCAGCUUCCAUUCAGACGUCAUUGGCCAAACCAGUAUUGAGUCAUCACUGGUAAGUAGCAGCUCAGCCAGAGAUUACAUCUCCCCAUCACACAUCCCUCACAUCUGUAUGGAACAACAGGACUAAUUCUCAGUCAUAGAAGGUGAAUACAAAAGAUUCCCAGGUCCCAGAGGAUGGUGGAGCUUCAAGAAGAAAGUAGCCUUGGUCCCUAAAUUAUCACAUGGAGAAAAGGGGCACUCCCACCAGAAACACCUAAAUUGGACUAUUAUAUGAUUGAGAAAUAAACUUUUAUUAUGUUAAGCUA